GUCCACGCCCUAAACGAUGUCAACUAGGUGUUGGGGAAGGAGACUUCUUUAGUACCGCAGCUAACGCGCUAAGUUGACCGCCUGGGGAGUACGGUCGCAAGAUUAAAACUCAAAGGAAUUGACGGGGGACCCGCACAAGCGUGGAUUAUGUGGAUUAAUUCGAUGCAACGCGAAAACCUUAACCUACCCUUGACAUGCCAGGAAGAUCGCAGAGAUGUGAUUGUGCCCGAAAGGGAACCUGGACACAGGUGCUGCAUGGCUGUCGU
rnacentral:rRNA from 1 species